UACAGAAGUCUCAAGCGUUGUUCGGAUUCAUUGGGCGUAAAGGGUGCGUAGGUGGCGCGCUAAGUCAGGUGUGAAAUCUCGGGGCUUAACUCCGAAACUGCAUUCGAUACUGCCGUGCUUGAGGACUGGAGAGGAGACUGGAAUUUACGGUGUAGCGGUGAAAUGCGUAGAUAUCGUAAGGAAGACCAGUGGCGAAGGCGGGUCUCUGGACAGUUCCUGA
rnacentral:rRNA from 1 species